rnacentral:sRNA from 1 species
UUUUUCCUGCAGGCGAAGCAAUAUGACUGUGCUUCCAUGAAGCAUACUUCCGUAGUAGUUUGACACUAGAGGGAGUUAACUCUUCUACAUAAAAAUUUUUUACUGGGCUGGGUGCGG